AUGGGUAUCGCAUCCAGACCACUCUCUGCCGCCUCGCACCAAACUCAGAUAAGAGGGACUCAGAGACAGACAGAUAAGGCGUGCGUGCGGCGCCCGUAUUGGCGUGCUCACGCCCUCUCUCUUCUCUUUUCGCCUCGUUCGCUUGCCCGUUGUGGUGGCUUGCGGCCGCUCUCCUUCGCGGUCGUCACACCCCGCGGUUGCGCACCGCUCGAGCGUCUCGUCUGUGCCCCUCGUCACCUCCCGUGCUUCUCCCCUGCGCGCGCGCUCGCACUAUUUUGAGUGGUUCUUGUCUCUUUCACCUGCUGUUCUUGGCCGGCAAUGUCCUCACCCAACACGAUUGUGGCGUGGAGGGCGCCGGUGGCCGGCGGUGCCGUGGUGGACGUGCUGCAGAGCUCCUCCAACCUGCUGCAGUAUCUCUCGACGGAGGAGAGCUCAAACGAUGGCCGGCGGCUGCCCAGCUCCCAUCGCAAGCUGCUCGUCUUCUUCCCCGGCAACCCAGGAUUGGUGCAGUUUUACGAGCCGUUGUGCGCGUUCCUCGAGACGAACAAGUUCGACGUGCUCGUGAUGGGCUACGCGGGCCACAGCCUCACCGAGCUCAAUGAAGGCCGCGUCUUCUCGCUGGCGGAUCAGGUGGACAUCGCCGAAAGCUUUGUGGCCACCCUCAUGAACAAGAACGCCGAGCGCAAGUACAAUGGAAACAUCUACGCUGCCGGGCACAGCGUCGGCGGCUUCGUGGCGCUGCAAAUGGUGGCGCGGUACUCCACCAUAAAGAAGUGCUUCGGGCUGUGCCCCGUCAUGUCACACAUGCGUGACUCGCCCAACGGGCGCCGUCUCUUCUAUCUUAGCAGCACGCUCGCACAGUGGUGUCUUGCCAUGCUUGCCGUGCUGCUGGAGCUGCUGCCGUACAAACUGCGGCUUCUCCUCAUUACGACGUCGGAGCCAUCGCUCUCUCUCGCCCUUGCUGAAACCCUUGCACACCACUUACACCGCUGGUGCCUGACGAACUCGCUGUAUAUGGCGAUGACAGAAUUUCGCAUGCUCCUGCAACCCGACGCAGCCCUCCUGCGCUGUGUGCAGGAGCGCCUCAUCCUCUACUACGUCAAGAAAGACGGCUGGGCGCCACUGUCGUUCGCUGAGGAAAUCGGAGGUGUUUGCCCGCGGCUCGGCGCCUGCGUGAUCGAGGAAGAUGCAGGAGUGCCUCAUGCAUGGUGCCUCAACCACAGCGAGACGGUUGCGCGCAACGCCAUUCUGAAGCACUGUUAACGGUGACACGUCGCGUUGCCGAUUCCCAGGCAUUGUAGGUACACGCGGUGAUGCGCGAAAGACGCGGCUGUGCCACCACUGCGGCCGUCUCCGCCUCACUCUUGUGUCUCUGCCUCGACCAAGCCGCUGCCGCUCGCUCAUCCGCAGCGGGUCUCCCCUUUAAACAACGCCUCUGUAUCCCAUAUGACAUGCAUAUAUAUAUAUAUAUCCUCCUUCCGGGAUUAAUACAACACCAGCUCAGUGAUCCAUCUGCAUUUUCUGUGAGCGGAUGUGCUGCCGAGUGUUUGA
rnacentral:misc_RNA from 1 species